UUGUGGAAAAGGCGCCCAAGGCCCGGAUCGGGGACCUGGACAAGAAGAAAUACCUGGUGCCCUCCGACCUCACAGUGGGCCAGUUCUAUUUCCUGAUCAGGAAGAGGAUCCACCUGCGGGCUGAGGACGCUGCUCAGUUUUUGGUGGGCCAGUUCUAUUUCCUGAUCAGGAAGAGGAUCCACCUGCGGGCUGAGGACGCUGCUCAGUUUUUGGGUGGAUUUUGGGUUAAUUUUUGGCAUUUUUUAGCGGUUUUUUUUGGGUUUUUUCUGGUUUUUAGGUUGAUUUUGGGCUGAUUUUGGUGUUUUUGGAUAU